GUAGUUGUGGUUAAAGUGAUAGACUAGAAAUGCCUUGAAGUUUCCCUAUGUAGGUUCAAAUCCUAUCAACUAUG
rnacentral:tRNA from 1 species